rnacentral:lncRNA from 1 species
UUGUUUGUUUGUUUUUUUGGUGGUCAUUCUGGUUGUAUGACUCAAACUAUUUGAGUUAUGGAUAGCUUGUUUGUUUGUUUUUUUGGUGGUCAUUUGGGUUGUAUAAACUCAAACUAUGAACUUAAUUUUAAAGUAUUUAGCUUAUGGAUUAUGAUGUAUAAUGCUUUAUAUUUAAUGGAAUUUGGUCGGCAUAUAUAGCUG